AAUAACCUGAUGAACAAAUACUAUUGGACACCACUGGCUAUUGGAUGCAAAUAAAUAUGGUAGAAUUGAUCUUGGGAAAUCAAAAAUAGGAAAUAUGGAAAGAAAAAGAAGAUUUGUUUUUGGCAGGGAGGCAAGUCCAGUUCAAAAACUAAUGCAUCCUUUGUUGGGAAUCAUGUUUUAUAUGUAGAUAUCUGGAGGAAUUAUUAAUUGCUACAUAUGAAUGAGACCAAACGUUCAAGUGUUUAUGCAGGGAAAAAGAAAUCUUUCAAGAGGAGCUGUGUCUUUCUUAAAAGAGAAAUCACAAAACAAGUGAGACAUAUGAUGGAGGCCAUUAGAGAGAAGGAUGAAUGCCAGUUUGUGAAGUGCUGCUUCAGCUGUCUCAGGAGAGUAGCUGCCAAGCACACUCAAGAAGGAAAUACAAAAUCGGACAUCUGUAUGUGUGCAGCAUCCACCAUGUUUGCUCUGAGGAGAGAGAACCAUAUGAAGCAAGACAGCAAAGGUGAAAUCCAGCAAGAUAGCCUACUUUAUUGCCAUGGCAACCCAACCCUGAUGAAAAGUAAAAAAAAACAAUAAAAUAUCUCUGAAAAAAAAUCUGUGCUAUGAAUACCUAGAGGGUUGAGGAAAGAUUCACUCAUGGAAAGAAUCUGACAUUUUAAUGAUUUGGUGAUUCCUUGUAACAAAGCCAUGGGUGACGCUUUUGGGAAAUGCUGAUUUCAGAAAGCAUUGCAUUUACUAAAUUAUUUAAUUUGUUCUGUUGCUAAAUUCAGAUUUACAUGUGAAAGCUGUAGUUUUGGAUUAAAAUCUUUAGUGCCAUUGCCGAGGCCAAAGCAUUAACAUUGUCACUCUCCUUGAUGCCUUUUGACAAUCUUUUCCUAUCAUAUUUCACAUAAAUUGUUUGUUCAGUAACAAAGAGAAGUUCCAGGAUGUUUUGAUCUUUGGUUAAAAUUAAAGCUGUAUUUUAUAUGCCUAGAUUGGAUUCUCAAAUUUCACCCAUCAUUGUUUAAAAAUGUCCUUUCUUCAAC
rnacentral:lncRNA from 1 species